UUGACCUCAAAUCAGGUAGGACUACCCGCUGAACUUAAGCAUAUCAAUAAGCGGAGGAAAAGAAACUAACAAGGAUUCCCUUAGUAACUGCGAGUGAAGAGGGAAAAGCUCAAAUUUAAAAUCUGGCAGUGUU
rnacentral:rRNA from 1 species